ACUUGGAUAGCUUAAUUUAAAGCUUAAUAUUGAAGAUAUUAUGAUAAGAGUAAAUCUUUUCAAGUG
rnacentral:tRNA from 1 species